ACUCCCACAAACGUCUACGACCGCACCUACAUAUUUCUGCAUGCUUAUACAAUUCUAAUUUGGAACAGCCAAUCCGGUUCUUGGAUUAAAAUUACAAUUAAACGUCGAUUGGCUGUUCAAAAUUAGAAUUGUAAACAUGCAAAAAUAUGUAGGUGCGGUCGUAGACGUUUGUGGGAGU
rnacentral:miRNA from 1 species